GCCACCGUAGCUCAGCGGUAGAGCACUCGAUUCGUAAUCGAGCGGUCGUCGGUUCAAUUCCGACCGGUGGCUCCG
rnacentral:tRNA from 2 species